GGGACAAUACCCCUAAUGCGCCUUGAAAUGAGGAACACAAAAGUCACGUGUAAACAAAAAAUCUCUGUGUAGUGAUAUUUGACACAUUUCUAUGAUAAACAAAUAACUGAGCUGAACCAUUAGUGUUAAUUUAGAAAAUAAGGGAACACAGAAUAAAUGUGUAAAAACCAUGGAGCUAUGAAAUGUGUUCAAAGUAUUAAAAUUUCAAAGAACUUAUUGUGUUAAAAUUGGGAUUUUUUACCAUGAGGAGCGACAUCGCAAAAGGAUACUCGGGGUUUGCUAAAUUACGGAAAAAUGAAUCACACUUCGUACCCCGAAAAUUUAACCACAUAUGUAAAAAUGUCUCAGCUUCGAAACAAGCCAUCAUACAUAUACAAGUUUACGAUAUGGGCUGAGCAACAGAAGAAAACGUUACCAUUACGGCCUAUGGAAUAACAAUUGCGCAUAUUGCCCCAUCUUAUAUUGGGACAAUACCCCUAAUGCGCCUUGAAAUGAGGAACACAAAAGUCACGUGUAAACAAAAAAUCUCUGUGUAGUGAUAUUUGACACAUUUCUAUGAUAAACAAAUAACUGAGCUGAACCAUUAGUGUUAAUUUAGAAAAUAAGGGAACACAGAAUAAAUGUGUAAAAACCAUGGAGCUAUGAAAUGUGUUCAAAGUAUUAAAAUUUCAAAGAACUUAUUGUGUUAAAAUUGGGAUUUUUUACCAUGAGGAGCGACAUCGCAAAAGGAUACUCGGGGUUUGCUAAAUUACGGAAAAAUGAAUCACACUUCGUACCCCGAAAAUUUAACCACAUAUGUAAAAAUGUCUCAGCUUCGAAACAAGCCAUCAUACAUAUACAAGUUUACGAUAUGGGCUGAGCAACAGAAGAAAACGUUACCAUUACGGCCUAUGGAAUAACAAUUGCGCAUAUUGCCCCAUCUUGUGAGGAAGGAUCCAGAGAUGUCUUAAGCUAAUUUCACCUUGUACACCACAGAAAAUUGUUAAAAUGAUGUUCCAGACAUAUCAUUACUUUUAAAUAUGAGAUGACAAACUAAAGGUUUUAAAAAGUCCUGAAUAACUGAAAUGGACAAAAAUACACAGAUUUAUUCAGAAUGUCAUACCGAUGAAGAUCACCUAAAAAUAUUUGGAAAAAUCAGAACUAUGGAUUUCAAUAUGGGACAAUACCCCUAAUGCGCCUUGAAAUGAGGAACACAAAAGUCACGUGUAAACAAAAAAUCUCUGUGUAGUGAUAUUUGACACAUUUCUAUGAUAAACAAAUAACUGAGCUGAACCAUUAGUGUUAAUUUAGAAAAUAAGGGAACACAGAAUAAAUGUGUAAAAACCAUGGAGCUAUGAAAUGUGUUCAAAGUAUUAAAAUUUCAAAGAACUUAUUGUGUUAAAAUUGGGAUUUUUUACCAUGAGGAGCGACAUCGCAAAAGGAUACUCGGGGUUUGCUAAAUUACGGAAAAAUGAAUCACACUUCGUACCCCGAAAAUUUAACCACAUAUGUAAAAAUGUCUCAGCUUCGAAACAAGCCAUCAUACAUAUACAAGUUUACGAUAUGGGCUGAGCAACAGAAGAAAACGUUACCAUUACGGCCUAUGGAAUAACAAUUGCGCAUAUUGCCCCAUCUUAUAUUGGGACAAUACCCCUAAUGCGCCUUGAAAUGAGGAACACAAAAGUCACGUGUAAACAAAAAAUCUCUGUGUAGUGAUAUUUGACACAUUUCUAUGAUAAACAAAUAACUGAGCUGAACCAUUAGUGUUAAUUUAGAAAAUAAGGGAACACAGAAUAAAUGUGUAAAAACCAUGGAGCUAUGAAAUGUGUUCAAAGUAUUAAAAUUUCAAAGAACUUAUUGUGUUAAAAUUGGGAUUUUUUACCAUGAGGAGCGACAUCGCAAAAGGAUACUCGGGGUUUGCUAAAUUACGGAAAAAUGAAUCACACUUCGUACCCCGAAAAUUUAACCACAUAUGUAAAAAUGUCUCAGCUUCGAAACAAGCCAUCAUACAUAUACAAGUUUACGAUAUGGGCUGAGCAACAGAAGAAAACGUUACCAUUACGGCCUAUGGAAUAACAAUUGCGCAUAUUGCCCCAUCUUGUGAGGAAGGAUCCAGAGAUGUCUUAAGCUAAUUUCACCUUGUACACCACAGAAAAUUGUUAAAAUGAUGUUCCAGACAUAUCAUUACUUUUAAAUAUGAGAUGACAAACUAAAGGUUUUAAAAAGUCCUGAAUAACUGAAAUGGACAAAAAUACACAGAUUUAUUCAGAAUGUCAUACCGAUGAAGAUCACCUAAAAAUAUUUGGAAAAAUCAGAACUAUGGAUUUCAAUAUGGGACAAUACCCCUAAUGCGCCUUGAAAUGAGGAACACAAAAGUCACGUGUAAACAAAAAAUCUCUGUGUAGUGAUAUUUGACACAUUUCUAUGAUAAACAAAUAACUGAGCUGAACCAUUAGUGUUAAUUUAGAAAAUAAGGGAACACAGAAUAAAUGUGUAAAAACCAUGGAGCUAUGAAAUGUGUUCAAAGUAUUAAAAUUUCAAAGAACUUAUUGUGUUAAAAUUGGGAUUUUUUACCAUGAGGAGCGACAUCGCAAAAGGAUACUCGGGGUUUGCUAAAUUACGGAAAAAUGAAUCACACUUCGUACCCCGAAAAUUUAACCACAUAUGUAAAAAUGUCUCAGCUUCGAAACAAGCCAUCAUACAUAUACAAGUUUACGAUAUGGGCUGAGCAACAGAAGAAAACGUUACCAUUACGGCCUAUGGAAUAACAAUUGCGCAUAUUGCCCCAUCUUAUAUUGGGACAAUACCCCUAAUGCGCCUUGAAAUGAGGAACACAAAAGUCACGUGUAAACAAAAAAUCUCUGUGUAGUGAUAUUUGACACAUUUCUAUGAUAAACAAAUAACUGAGCUGAACCAUUAGUGUUAAUUUAGAAAAUAAGGGAACACAGAAUAAAUGUGUAAAAACCAUGGAGCUAUGAAAUGUGUUCAAAGUAUUAAAAUUUCAAAGAACUUAUUGUGUUAAAAUUGGGAUUUUUUACCAUGAGGAGCGACAUCGCAAAAGGAUACUCGGGGUUUGCUAAAUUACGGAAAAAUGAAUCACACUUCGUACCCCGAAAAUUUAACCACAUAUGUAAAAAUGUCUCAGCUUCGAAACAAGCCAUCAUACAUAUACAAGUUUACGAUAUGGGCUGAGCAACAGAAGAAAACGUUACCAUUACGGCCUAUGGAAUAACAAUUGCGCAUAUUGCCCCAUCUUAUAUUGGGACAAUACCCCUAAUGCGCCUUGAAAUGAGGAACACAAAAGUCACGUGUAAACAAAAAAUCUCUGUGUAGUGAUAUUUGACACAUUUCUAUGAUAAACAAAUAACUGAGCUGAACCAUUAGUGUUAAUUUAGAAAAUAAGGGAACACAGAAUAAAUGUGUAAAAACCAUGGAGCUAUGAAAUGUGUUCAAAGUAUUAAAAUUUCAAAGAACUUAUUGUGUUAAAAUUGGGAUUUUUUACCAUGAGGAGCGACAUCGCAAAAGGAUACUCGGGGUUUGCUAAAUUACGGAAAAAUGAAUCACACUUCGUACCCCGAAAAUUUAACCACAUAUGUAAAAAUGUCUCAGCUUCGAAACAAGCCAUCAUACAUAUACAAGUUUACGAUAUGGGCUGAGCAACAGAAGAAAACGUUACCAUUACGGCCUAUGGAAUAACAAUUGCGCAUAUUGCCCCAUCUUGUGAGGAAGGAUCCAGAGAUGUCUUAAGCUAAUUUCACCUUGUACACCACAGAAAAUUGUUAAAAUGAUGUUCCAGACAUAUCAUUACUUUUAAAUAUGAGAUGACAAACUAAAGGUUUUAAAAAGUCCUGAAUAACUGAAAUGGACAAAAAUACACAGAUUUAUUCAGAAUGUCAUACCGAUGAAGAUCACCUAAAAAUAUUUGGAAAAAUCAGAACUAUGGAUUUCAAUAUGGGACAAUACCCCUAAUGCGCCUUGAAAUGAGGAACACAAAAGUCACGUGUAAACAAAAAAUCUCUGUGUAGUGAUAUUUGACACAUUUCUAUGAUAAACAAAUAACUGAGCUGAACCAUUAGUGUUAAUUUAGAAAAUAAGGGAACACAGAAUAAAUGUGUAAAAACCAUGGAGCUAUGAAAUGUGUUCAAAGUAUUAAAAUUUCAAAGAACUUAUUGUGUUAAAAUUGGGAUUUUUUACCAUGAGGAGCGACAUCGCAAAAGGAUACUCGGGGUUUGCUAAAUUACGGAAAAAUGAAUCACACUUCGUACCCCGAAAAUUUAACCACAUAUGUAAAAAUGUCUCAGCUUCGAAACAAGCCAUCAUACAUAUACAAGUUUACGAUAUGGGCUGAGCAACAGAAGAAAACGUUACCAUUACGGCCUAUGGAAUAACAAUUGCGCAUAUUGCCCCAUCUUAUAUUGGGACAAUACCCCUAAUGCGCCUUGAAAUGAGGAACACAAAAGUCACGUGUAAACAAAAAAUCUCUGUGUAGUGAUAUUUGACACAUUUCUAUGAUAAACAAAUAACUGAGCUGAACCAUUAGUGUUAAUUUAGAAAAUAAGGGAACACAGAAUAAAUGUGUAAAAACCAUGGAGCUAUGAAAUGUGUUCAAAGUAUUAAAAUUUCAAAGAACUUAUUGUGUUAAAAUUGGGAUUUUUUACCAUGAGGAGCGACAUCGCAAAAGGAUACUCGGGGUUUGCUAAAUUACGGAAAAAUGAAUCACACUUCGUACCCCGAAAAUUUAACCACAUAUGUAAAAAUGUCUCAGCUUCGAAACAAGCCAUCAUACAUAUACAAGUUUACGAUAUGGGCUGAGCAACAGAAGAAAACGUUACCAUUACGGCCUAUGGAAUAACAAUUGCGCAUAUUGCCCCAUCUUGUGAGGAAGGAUCCAGAGAUGUCUUAAGCUAAUUUCACCUUGUACACCACAGAAAAUUGUUAAAAUGAUGUUCCAGACAUAUCAUUACUUUUAAAUAUGAGAUGACAAACUAAAGGUUUUAAAAAGUCCUGAAUAACUGAAAUGGACAAAAAUACACAGAUUUAUUCAGAAUGUCAUACCGAUGAAGAUCACCUAAAAUUAUUUGGAAAAAUCAGAACUAUGGAUUUCAAUAUGGGACAAUACCCCUAAUGCGCCUUGAAAUGAGGAACACAAAAGUCACGUGUAAACAAAAAAUCUCUGUGUAGUGA